GUCUUCAUGGUGUAGUUGGUUAUCACGUGGGUCUCAUAUCUCAGCAUAUGACUUGGAAGCCUCUCAACUUCCGGGAUAUCCCAAGGCCGGGAGUUCGAACCUCCCUGAGGACA